rnacentral:rRNA from 1 species
UUGCCCUAGUAACGGCGAGUGAAGCGGCAACAGCUCAAAUUUGAAAUCUGGCGCCUUCGGUGCCCGAGUUGUAAUUUGUAGAGGGUAGCUCGAGCCCGCCCCCGUCUAAGUCCCCUGGAACGGGGCGUCGUAGAGGGUGAGAAUCCCGUAUGCGACGGGGUGGCGUGCUCGUGUGAGCUCCCUUCGACGAGUCGAGUUGUUUGGGAAUGCAGCUCUAAAUGGGAGGUAAAUUCCUUCUAAAGCUAAAUACCGGCCAGAGACCGAUAGCGCACAAGUAGAGUGAUCGAAAGAUGAAAAGCACUUUGGAAAGAGAGUUAAAAAGCACGUGAAAUUGUUGAAAGGGAAGCGCUCACGACCAGACUCGGGUGCGGCUGCUCAGCCGGUCUUCUGACCGGUGCAUCGGUUGUACCCGGGCCAGCAUCGGUUCGGGCGGUCGGAUAAAGGUUCCGGGAACGUAGCUCCUCUCGGGGAGUGUUAUAGCCCGGGGCGCAAUGCGGCCUGCCCGGACCGAGGAACGCGUUCGCUAGGAUGCUGGCGUAAUGGUCGUUAGCGGCCCGUCUUGAAACACGGACCAAGGAGUCUACCAUCUGUGCGAGUAUUAGGGUGUCAAACCCUUGUGCGUAAUGAAAGUGAACGGAGGUGGGAACCCUUUGGGUGCACCAUCGACCGAUCCAGAUGUCCUCGGACGGAUUUGAGUAAGAGCACCGCUGGUGGGACCCGAAAGAUGGUGAACUAUGCGCGGAUAGGGUGAAGCCAGAGGAAACUCUGGUGGAGGCUCGCAGCGGUUCUGACGUGCAAAUCGAUCGUCAAAUCUACGCAUAGGGGCGAAAGA